CGAUUGGCGCGUAAAUUACCCAAUCCUGACACAGGGAGGUAGUGACAAGAAAUACCAAUAUGAGGCUUCAUGUCUUGUAAUUGGAAUGAGAACAAUUUAAAUCCCUUACCGAGUAUCAAUUGGAGGGCAAGUCUGGUGCCAGCAGCCGCGGUAAUUCCAGCUCCAAUAGCGUAUAUUAAAAUUGUUGCGGUUAAAACGCUCGUAGUUGGAUAUCUGUGAGCGGGUUCCGGUCCUUCCCAGUGAAGAUUACACGGAACUCUGCUCGCAUUUGUUCAGGGAGGGUGGAUGCACUUCACUGUGUGACCACAUGAUCUGAAUUUUUACUUUGAGGAAAUGAGAGUGUUCCAAGCAGGCAAUUGCCGUGAAUAUGAUAGCAUGGAAUAAUAGCACAGGACUCUUGGUUCAAUGCUGUUGGUUUGUUGAACUAGAGUAAUCACAAUAAGGAUAGUUGGGGGUAUUCGUAUUUAACUGUCAGAGGUGAAAUUCUUGGAUUUUUUAAAGACGAACAAUUGCGAAGGCAUCUACCCAGGAUGUUUUUGUUGAUCAAGAACGAAAGUUAGGGGAUCGAAGACGAUCAGAUACCGUCCUAGUCUUAACCUUAAACUAUGCCGGCUGGAGAUUGGAGUCGUCAGAUUUGUGACGUCUUCAGCAUCCUAUGAGAAAUCUAAGUCUUUGGGUUCCGGGGGGAGUAUGGUCGCAAGGCUGAAAUC
rnacentral:rRNA from 1 species